GGGGAUGCAAGGCAUAGACAGUAGGCCUUUUGUCAUCGAUGCAUACCGAGAAUGGACGUAACCUCGUAAAACUUCGUCCAAUAGCUUAAUUGCAAAAUUAGCUUCCAAAGUGAAAGCAGCAGUCUCUCCAUACUUCGGUAUGAAUGACUUUGCUUUCGCUUCAGUUUCCGCUUCGGCGUAACUGAUGUCUCUCUUAUAGACUUCCGAUAUAUAAGAUGAGGCACAAUAUUAUCGGGAUAAGGAAAUACCCGUUCGAGUAUUUCACUAAAACCUAGAACUCGAUUAAAAAAUAUUUGGCUCGUUUAAGAAUUUUUUAAUUUAAACAAAAAAGCGUGCUAUGUAUGUAGACUUCUUUACAAAAACCUUCUGCACUGGGAUUCAAUUUCCCACAUCUCCACUC
rnacentral:tmRNA from 2 species